rnacentral:rRNA from 1 species
CUAGCAAGUCAAACCUUACAAAAAGAAUUUAGCAAGACCCUCCGAAACCAGACGAGCUACCUUAAGGCAGUUUAUGAACGAACCCUCCUCUGUAGCAAAAGAGCGGGAAGACCUUUAGGUAGAGGCGAUAAACCUAACGAGCCUGGAUAUAGCUGAUUGCUUGAGAAAGAAUUUAAGUUCACAUAAAAGCAAUUAUACCAACAAGGAAAAAUUCUGCCUUUUACUUUAAUCAAUUGAGUUACAGCUCAAUUAAUAAGGGAAACAACCCAAAUAAAUGAAUCAAGAUUAUAUACUUUAAGAAACACGAGCCUAGUAGGCCUAAAAGCAGCCACCAAAACAGCGUUAAAGCUUAACUUAAACCAUAUCACCUAUCCCAAUAAACAAUCUCAAUUCAACAAAAAAAUCAAGCCAAUCUAUCUAUAGAUGAGCUACUACUAGAAUUAGUAAUAAGGAUACAUCCUCUAUAAUAUAAACGUAAAUCAGAACGAACAACCGCUGAUAACUAAUGAAUAUAUUUUUAAAACAAGAACUUAAUAAUAGAAAUCAUUAACCCAACACAGGAAUAUUAAAGAAAGACUUAAAGCUUAGAAAGGAACUCGGCAAACC